CACUACAUUUCACCACCAUCCCCGCAGUUGCUGCCUUACUGCUAUUGUUAUUGCCAAAUCCCUGAAGCAUAACACUCCUGUUUCCCACCAUUACACUAAUCCUCGAGGAGCAGUUGCUUGAGUGCUGCUGUUUGUGGUGGAGAUUGAUAAAGGGUGGUGGUCUCCCAUAUUGUUGCAGGCUGCAGGUAGUUGCCAUUCUGCCUCUGCUUUGGAAGCCCUUACGAAGAAAAUAGUUUGUAAAUGGAGGUGUAGAAAUCAUAGACAACAGGUUUGAUUUCAUGUGUCUUUGAGUGAGUGAACACGACGAGAGAAUGGAAUAGAAGUGCUGUAACGUAAGUGUACGGCCCCACAUUUCACAACUACGCAAUGGCAGUUGCGGUUAACUUUUUUGUUCUCUUUAGGGAAGAAGGAAGGGAGGGAGGGGCUUGGCUUGUCAGUAGAUUCUGAAAUGUGAGCAAGCAUAUCGAGAACAAUCUAAGUCAACCGUAUAAGUGCAUUGGCUCCCUUCAUUAAAAUUAUAUUAAAUUAAUAAGGACACAGAAACAGAGAGCAAUCCCGAUCCCGAUCCCUACCCCAAUCCCAAUCCAGCAUGUUAGUGACGGCGACGGCGGCAACAGUGGCUUCGGCAUCUAAUAAGUGCUUUAGGGCUCAUAACAACCUCCACCUCCUUCGCCAUCACCACUCUAAUUAUUACAAAUACAAGAAUAAUAAUAAAAAUCCUCUCUUAUUUCUAUGCUGCUUCAACCAUUCCCUCCCCAAUCAUCAUCACACCCGAAGAUGCCGCCUUCUUCUUGGGCCGAGCAGCACCGACAGCAGCACUGCUCUUCACGCCAGUUUCCCCUUCCUAUCCAACACAUCAUACUCCACUCCUCCCUCAUGGAAUCCCAAUGCUUUCCUUUCCAGUUCCUCCUCCUCCUCGACUCCUUUCCGGCCACCGAACUCAAUGCUCAAUGGCCACGCUUUCUUCUCAACCUCAGCUCCAAAGGAUAAAGACGAUGAUGAUGCUGCCAAUAAAGCUUCAUCAUCACCAUCGAUUACGACUCCUGCUAUUGCUGAUAAAUCAGACCAGCAACUUGCUGACAUGAAAAUCUUACGGACUCUGGCCAGUUAUUUAUGGAUGAAAGAUAACCCUGAAUUUCGCUUAAGGGUGCUUCUGGCCCUUGGUUUCCUUUUGGUUGCUAAGGUUUUGAAUGUUCAAGUCCCUUUUCUUUUUAAGCUGGCUGUCGAUUGGUUGACUGUUGCUACAGGCAAUGCUACUGCUCUUGCUUCUUUCACCGCUGCUAAUUCCACUUUCCUUGCUCUCUUUGCUACCCCUGCUUCUGUUCUCAUUGGUUAUGGCAUUGCGCGCUGUGGAUCCUCUGCUUUCAAUGAAUUGAGGACUGCUGUGUUCUCUAAAGUAGCUCUGAGGACAAUCCGAACUGUGUCUGGGAAGGUUUUUUCACAUUUGCAUGAGCUUGACCUCCGUUUUCAUCUUAGUCGAGAAACUGGCGGGUUAAGUAGAAUAAUUGAUCGUGGUAGCCGAGCAAUAAACUUCAUCCUCUCAUCUAUGGUAUUCAAUGUUGUACCAACCAUUCUAGAGAUAUCUAUGGUUUCAAGUAUACUGGCAUACAAAUUUGGAGCCCCUUUUGCAUUGAUCACUUCACUCUCAGUCGCUGCAUAUGUUACUUUCACAUUGUCUGUGACACAGUGGAGAACCAAUUUCAGGAAGGCCAUGAAUAAAGCUGAUAAUGAUGCUAGUACAAAGGCAAUUGAUUCCCUUAUCAAUUAUGAGACUGUCAAAUAUUUCAACAAUGAAGCUUAUGAAGCUGAGCAAUAUGAUGAGUACUUAAAGAGGUAUGAAGAUGCUGCCUUAAAAACAUCGCAAAGUCUUGCUUUUUUGAAUUUUGGCCAAAAUGUGAUUUUUAGCACAGCUCUGUCAACAGCUAUGGUUUUAUGUUCACAUGGAAUUAUGAAUGGCCAGAUGACUGUUGGUGAUUUGGUUAUGGUAAAUGGACUACUCUUCCAGCUCUCCCUUCCACUUAAUUUCCUUGGCAGUGUUUACCGUGAGACAAUACAGAGUCUUGUUGACAUGAAGUCAAUGUUUCACUUACUCGAGGAGAAACCUGAUAUUAGAGAUAAAGAUGAUGCCAAACCUCUAAUGUUAAAGGGAGGUGGCAUUCAAUUUGACAAUGUACACUUCAGCUACUUGGAAGAAAGAAAAAUUCUUGAUGGUGUAACUUUUUCUGUACCAGCUGGAAAAAGUGUGGCUAUUGUUGGAACAAGUGGUAGUGGCAAGUCAACCAUUCUUAGAUUACUCUUCAGGCUUUUCGACACUAUUUCUGGAAGUAUACAAAUUGAUGGUCAAGAUACAAGGGAUGUAACACUGGAUAGUUUGCGGAGGUCUAUUGGUGUUGUCCCACAAGACACAGUACUUUUCAAUGACACAAUAUUUCACAACAUUCAUUAUGGUCGUCUUUCAGCAACGAGAGAGGAAGUCUAUGAUGCUGCCCGACAUGCUGCAAUCCAUGACACUGUCAUGAACUUCCCUGAAAAAUAUUCUACAAUAGUAGGAGAACGAGGGCUCAAGUUAAGUGGUGGUGAGAAGCAGCGUGUGGCUUUGGCCCGUGCAUUUUUGAAAGCCGCUCCUAUCAUGCUAUGUGAUGAAGCUACAAGUGCUCUUGACAGCACCACUGAAGCAGAGAUUCUAAAUGCAUUGAAAUCAUUAUCCAGCAAUCGAACUUCAGUUUUCAUUGCCCAUAGGCUUACAACUGCCAUGCAGUGUGAUGAGAUAAUAGUUCUGGAGAAUGGUAAAGUGGUUGAACAGGGACCCCAUGAAGUUCUAUUGACCAAGGCAGGUAGAUACGCGCAGCUCUGGGCACAGCAAAAUAGCACAGUGGAUGCCCUUGAUUCAGCCAUUAAAUUGGAGGCAUAGAUGUUGCAAUCUUCCCUUGACCAUACAAAGCUUGAAGUUGUUCAGCUGCCAAUGUUGUUGACCUCCUAUGAAAUGCAACCUUGUUGUACAAGACCAAUUGAUGGUUGUCGUCUGUGGGUUCCAUCAUCAUAAUGAACAACCAAAGGGAUAAUAUCUGUUACGUCUUAGAAGAAAAGAAAGAAAGCAAUACCAUUUGAUGGAUGAAGACAAUUUCAACUGAGAUUAUGAAUCUAUUCAAGCUUACCUUACAAACUUUGUCGUAUCGAUGAUGACAGAACCUAACGCGUUGGCACUGUGCCAAAUGUGUCAAGAAUCUUAUGUUAAACCAAAAUGGAAGUUACAUGCUCUGGAAUCACCGUACAGUUGUCAAAUUGAUUGAUCCACGUUACGCUAACCCUAUCACCGACAAGGUGCCUGAUAUCUUGAUUUAUAUGGAGAGUAGUGUUAGUGUUAAGUCUGUGGAUUUAGUCUAUCAAAUUCUCAAAAGAUCAUUUUAGGUAACAGGGCUGCUUCAAAGGAAGAAGCAAUAGAUAUCUAGCUAGUUUUGGAAGAUAUCCUGCUAUUGUUGAAGUCUUAGCUGCUUUCAUUUCCUUGCUGUUGGUAAGAGUUGAUUUGGUUAUUUGUUCUUGUGUACCUUCUUUGUACUCAACCCGUGCAUUGUUUGUACACCAUGAUUCACUUCUUUUUACAGAUUUGUGCAUUCCUCAAAAUAAUUGUUAAAGUACAAGCUGAUUGAUAAGUUGAGGUGACAUGGGCAGCUUUCAGUUU